GAGAGUUUGAUCCUGGCUCAGACGAACGCUGGCGGCGUGCCUAACACAUGCCAGUCGAACGGGGAAUAGCAAUAUUCCAAGUGGCGAACGGGUGAGUAACGCGUAGACACCUGCCUUCUAGAUGGGGACAACACCGCGAAAGUGGUGCUAAUACCGAAGUGGUCUAUAGAGCGCACGCUUAAUAGACAAAGGUGGCCUCUUAACAAUGCUACCGCUGAAAUGGGUCUGCGUCUGAUUAGCUGUUGGUGAGGUAACGGCUCACCAAGGCGACUAUAGUAGCCGGUCUGAGAGGAUGAACGGCCACACUGGGACUGAGACACGGCCCACACUCCUACGGGAGGCAGCAGUGGGGAAUCUUCCGCAAUGGACGAAAGUCUGACGGAGCAACGCCACGUGAGUGAAGAAGGUCUUCGGAUCGUACAGCUCUGUCUUUUAGGGCGAACGAGCUAUAGGUGAAAAAUCUAUAGUAAUGACGGUACUAAAGGAGGAAGCCACGGCUAACUACGUGCCAGCAGCCGCGGUAAUACAUAGGUGGCAAGCGUUGUCCGGAAUUAUUGGGCGUAAAGAGCGCGUAGGCGGGAUAACAAGUCUAUCUCAAAAGUGCGGGGCUCAACCCCGUGAGGCGAUAGAAACUGUUAUUCUUGAGUGCAGGAUAGGGAAGUGGAAUUCCCAGUGUAGCGGUGAAAUGCGUAGAGUUGGGAGGAACACCAGUGGCGAAAGCGGCUUUCUGGACUGUGUCUGACGCUGAGGCGCGAAAGCCAGGGAGCGAACGGGAUUAGAUACCCCGGUAGUCCUGGGCUGUACACUGAUGAGUACUAGGUGUAUGAGGUAUCGACCCCUUCUGUGCGCAGCAACGCAUUAGUACCUCGCCUGGGGAGUACGGCUGCACGUGAACUCAAUGAAUUGACUGGGGCCUGCACAGCGCUGAGU
rnacentral:rRNA from 1 species